CCAGCCUGGUGACAGAGCGAGACUCCAUCUCAAAAAAAAAAAAAAAAAAAAAAAAAAAAAAAAAGAAGAAGAAGGCCGGGCGCGGUGGCUCACGCCUGUAAUCCCGGCACUUUGGGGCUGGCGGAUCACCUGAGAUCAGGAGUUCCAGGCCAGCCUGACCAAUAUGAUGAAACCUUGUCUCUACUAAAAAUACAAAAAUUAGCCGGGCGUGGUGGCAUGUGCCUGUAAUCCUAGCUACUCGGGUUGGGGGGGGGGGCGGGGGGGACCGCGGGGAGAGGGUGCUGAGACAGGAGAAUCGCUUGAACCCGGGAGGCAGAGGUUGCAGUUAGCUGAGAUAGCGCCACAGCACCCCAGCCUGGGCAACAAGAGCAAAACUCCGUCUCAAAAAAAAAAAAAAAAAAAGAAAAGAAAAGAAAAGAAAGAAAUAGAAAUUAAAUUUAAAGAGUGUCACAUUCAACAGAAAACACUUUUCAUAUGAUGCUUCGG
rnacentral:lncRNA from 1 species